rnacentral:rRNA from 1 species
GUCUUUUUGAAUUUAAUUUAAAGUCUAGCCUGCCCAAUGAAGUAUUUAAUGGCCGCAGUAUUUUGACUGUGCAAAGGUAGCAUAAUCAUUAGUUUCUUAAUUAGGAACUGGAAUGAAUGGUUGGACGAGAAAAUAACUGUCUCUUUAUAAAUUAUUUAGAAUUUUAUUAUUAAGUUAAAAAGCUUAAAUUUAUUUAAAAGACGAGAAGACCCUAUAGAGUUUUAUAUAGUUAUUAAUAAUAAUUUAAAUAGGAAUUUUAAAAUAUUAUUAAUUAUUAUAUUUGGUUGGGGUGAUUAAAAAAUUUAUUUAACUUUUUUUAUUUAUAAACAUUAAUUUAUGAGUUAUUGAUCCAAUUUUAUUGAUUAAAAGAUUAAAUUACCUUAGGGAUAACAGCGUUAUUUCUUUUAAGAGUUCAAAUCGAUAAAGAAGUUUGCGACCUCGAUGUUGGAUUAAAAUUAAAUUUUGGUGUAGUAGCUAAAAUGUUAGGUCUGUUCGACCUUUAAAAUUUUACAUGAUCUGAGUUUAAACCGGUGUGAGCCAGGUUGGUUUCUAUCUUUAAAUUAUUAUAAUGUUAUAGUACGAAAGGACCUAAUAUUAAUAAAAUUUAUUAAAAAUUGAAUAUGUUUAAUGAAUU